CCUGAUCAAAUCAUCCGAAUCGUGCUCGACUCAAAUAGUCCUGUGACACCUCACAAGGACUACCCUGGCCAAAGUUUUGUUAAAUUGAAAUACGACUGUAUAUAGCUCUUGAACUGGAGUGAUCAAUCUCAUCUUGACACAUGCACCGAUAAGUCAGGUACUUGACUACACCCAGCAGCCUUCCGUCACUGAAUAAGAAAUUCAGGUAGUCCAGUGCCUAAGUUCAGUGAGUUGCUUGCAAGUCACCGUGGCGGUCUC
rnacentral:lncRNA from 1 species